GAUGAACGCUGGCGGCAUGCCUAACACAUGCAAGUCGAGCGGAAACAUCAUGAGCUUGUUCCUUUGUCGUUAGCGGGAGACGGGCGAGUAAGACGUACGUAUCCCCCCUCUUAGCCUUGAAUAACUACGGCAAGCCGGGGCCAAUGCUAGUUCAGAUUAACAUCCGCUUACUGCAUAAGAUAUGCAGGGAUUUGUUAUCUGUAAUAGAUGGUGUCGCGUCGGAUUAGCUAGUUGGUAAGGUAACGGCUAACCAAGGCAACGAUACGUAGCGGAGCUGAGAGGGGGAGCAGCCACACUGGAACUGAGACACGGUCCAGACUCCUACGGGAGGCAGCAGUGGGGAAUCUUCCACAAGUGGCGGAAGCCUGACCGAGCCACGCCGCGUGGGUGACGAAGGGCUUCGGAUCGUAAAUCUCUGUUGUUGGGGAAGAAGAAAAGUGUAAGUAACGGGGCCCGUUUUGACGGUACCUAAUGAAUAAGCAACGGCUAACUACGUG
rnacentral:rRNA from 1 species